AUUGAACGCUGGCGGCAUGCCUUACACAUGCAAGUCGAACGGUAACAGGUUAAGCUGACGAGUGGCGAACGGGUGAGUAAUGUAUCGGAACGUGCCCAGUCGUGGGGGAUAACUGCUCGAAAGAGCAGCUAAUACCGCAUACGACCUGAGGGUGAAAGCGGGGGAUCGCAAGCCCUCGCGCGAUUGGAGCGGCCGAUAUCAGAUUAGGUAGUUGGUGAGGUAAAGGCUCACCAAGCCGACGAUCUGUAGCUGGUCUGAGAGGACGACCAGCCACACUGGGACUGAGACACGGCCCAGACUCCUACGGGAGGCAGCAGUGGGGAAUUUUGGACAAUGGGCGCAAGCCUGAGCCAGCCAUGCCGCGUGCGGGAAGAAGGCCUUCGGGUUGUAAACCGCUUUUGUCAGGGAAGAAAAGGUUCUGGCUAAUACCUGGGACUCAUGACGGUACCUGAAGAAUAAGCACCGGCUAACUACGU
rnacentral:rRNA from 1 species